UACGUAGGGGGCAAGCGUUGUCCGGAAUCAUUGGGCGUAAAGAGCUCGUAGGCGGCUCGUCGCGUCGACCGUGAAAACCCGCAGCUUAACUGCGGGCUUGCGGUUGAUACGGGCGGGCUAGAGUUCGGUAGGGGAGACUGGAAUUCCUGGUGUAGCGGUGAAAUGCGCAGAUAUCAGGAGGAACACCGGUGGCGAAGGCGGGUCUCUGGGCCGAUACUGACGCUGAGGAACGAAAGCGUGGGGAGCGAACAGG
rnacentral:rRNA from 1 species